GAUGAACGCUGGCGGCGUGCCUAAUACAUGCAAGUCGAGCGAACGGACGAGAAGCUUGCUUCUCUGAUGUUAGCGGCGGACGGGUGAGUAACACGUGGAUAACCUACCUAUAAGACUGGGAUAACUUCGGGAAACCGGAGCUAAUACCGGAUAAUAUUUUGAACCGCAUGGUUCAAAAGUGAAAGACGGUCUUGCUGUCACUUAUAGAUGGAUCCGCGCUGCAUUAGCUAGUUGGUAAGUUAACGGCUUACCAAGGCAACGAUGCAUAGCCGACCUGAGAGGGUGAUAGGCCACACUGGAACUGAGCCACGGUCCAGACUCCUACGGAAGGCAGCAGUAGGCAAUCUUCCGCAAUGGGCGAAAGCCUGACGGAGCAACGCCGCGUGAGUGAUGAAGGUCUUCGGAUCGUAAAACUCUGUUAUUAGUGAAGAACAUAUGUGUAAGUAACUGUGCACAUCUUGACGGUACCUAAUCAGAAAGCCACGGCUAACUACGUG
rnacentral:rRNA from 1 species